rnacentral:rRNA from 1 species
GAUGAACGCUGGCGGCGUGCCUAAUACAUGCAAGUCGAGCGAACAGACGAGGAGCUUGCUCCUCUGACGUUAGCGGCGGACGUGUGAGUAACACGUGGAUAACCUACCUAUAAGACUGGGAUAACUUCGGGAAACCGGAGCUAAUACCGGAUAAUAUAUUGAACCGCAUGGUUCAUUAGUGAAAUACGGUUUUGCUGUCACUUAUAGAGGGAUCCGCGCCUCUUUAGCUAGUUGUUAAGGUAACGGCUUACCAAGGCAACGAUGCGUAGCCGACCUGAGAGGGUGAUCGGCCACACUGGAGGGGAGACGCGGUCCAGACUCCUACGGGAGGCAGCAGUAGGGAACGUUACGCAAUGGGGGAAAGUCUGACGGAACAACGCCGCGUGAGUGAUAAAGGUCUUCGGAUCGUAAAACUCUGUUAUUAGGGAAGAACAAAUGUGUAAGUAACUAUGCACGUCUUGACGGUACCUAAUCAGAAAGCCACGGCUAACUACGUG